rnacentral:rRNA from 1 species
CGUAACAAGGUUUCCGUAGGUGAACCUGCGGAAGGAUCAUUACCUAGAGUUCGUAGACUUCGGUCUGCUACCUCUUACCCAUGUCUUUUGAGUACCUUCGUUUCCUCGGCGGGUCCGCCCCCCGAUUGGACAACAUUCAAACCCUUUGCAGUUGCAAUCAGCGUCUGAAAAAACAUAAUAGUUACAACUUUCAACAACGGAUCUCUUGGUUCUGGCAUCGAUGAAGAACGCAGCGAAAUGCGAUAAGUAGUGUGAAUUGCAGAAUUCAGUGAAUCAUCGAAUCUUUGAACGCACAUUGCGCCCCUUGGUAUUCCAUGGGGCAUGCCUGUUCGAGCGUCAUUUGUACCUUCAAGCUCUGCUUGGUGUUGGGUGUUUGUCUCGCCUCUGCGUGUAGACUCGCCUUAAAACAAUUGGCAGCCGGCGUAUUGAUUUCGGAGCGCAGUACAUCUCGCGCUUUGCACUCAUAACGGCGACGUCCAAAAGUACAUUUUUACACUCUUGACCUCGGAUCAGGUAGGGAUACCCGCUGAACUUAAGCAUAUCA